rnacentral:rRNA from 1 species
UACGUAGGGUGCGAGCGUUGUCCGGAAUUAUUGGGCGUAAAGGGCUCGUAGGCGGUUUGUCGCGUCGGGAGUGAAAUCCACUGGCUUAACUGGUGGCUUGCUUUCGAUACGGGCAGACUGGAGGUAUGCAGGGGAGAACGGAAUUCCUGGUGUAGCGGUGAAAUGCGCAGAUAUCAGGAGGAACACCGGUGGCGAAGGCGGCUUGCUGGGCCUUACCUGACGCUGAGGAGCGAAAGCGUGGGGAGCGAACAGG